CCCAGUGAUUUUUAUUUUCUCCGUCUCAGGACAGGGGUGAUAAACUGGAUUGUGCAAGGAUUAGGCAAAGUGGUUCCACAACCUGAUGACAAGCACAAACCGCAGACAGAAUCCCAGGAGGUCACUGAGGUUCCAAAAGUGGUGCCAGAGGUAAAGGUGGAGCAAAUUAGCCUGAGCCUCCACCUCCAGUCCCUGUGGUGGAGGCGGUUCCUGAUGCAGAAGCUGAAGGAGACAAGUCCAUAACCCCAAGGGUGAUGGAGUGGAUAAAGCAAGGUUUUGAGAAGGUGAUUCCGCAGCCAGGACACUCCAUACCAUCUUCUACAGACACUUCAGAUAAAAAGGAACUCGUUACAGAUACUGCACCUCCGCCUCCGAAGGCACCUGAAGUCUCAGUAGCUGAGGAAACCACUAAAGGAAC